CCUACGGGAGGCUGCAGUGGGGAAUAUUGGUCAAUGGGCGCAAGCCUGACCCAGCAACGCCGCGUGCAGGAUGAAGGCUUUCGGGUUUUAAACUUCUUUUAUCAGGGACGAAACAAGGGACGGUUCCGGAUGAAUAAGCCACUACCAACUACGGGCCAGCAGCCGCGGUACGACGGAGGGGGCAAGCUUUAUCCGGAUUUCCUGGGGGUAAAGGUGGUGUAGGCGGGAGUGCAAGUCAGAUGUGAAAACCAUGGGCUCAACCCAUAGACUGCAUUUGAAACUGUAGUUCUGGAGUGCUGGAGGGGAAAGCGGAAUUCAGGGUGUAGCGGUGAAAUGCGUAGAUAUCAGGAGGAACACCAGUGGCGAAGGCGAAUUGCUGGACAGUAACUGACGCUGAGGCGCGAAAGCGUGGGGAGCAAACAGGAUUAGAUACCCGAGUAGUC
rnacentral:rRNA from 1 species